ACGCUCGACACCUACGGGAGGCGGCAGUGGGGAAUAUUGGGCAAUGGAGGCAACUCUGACCCAGCAACGCCGCGUGAAUGAUGAAGGUCUUCGGAUUGUAAAGUUCUGUGACGGGGGACGAACACAAUGACGGUACCCCGAUAGCAAGCCACGGCUAACUACGUGCCAGGAGCCGCGGUAAUCUGAGCGGGCUGGCAAGGC
rnacentral:rRNA from 1 species